UUGAAUUAUUGUAUUGUUACCUUCUGUUAAUGAUUGUCUUUAACAUGUUAUGCAGAAGCAAUAUUUUGCAUGAUUACUUUAAUGAUGUUUUAUAUGGGAUUAGGUAUUACUAAUGUUUUAUAUGGAAUUAGGCUUUGGCUAUCAUCAUUGGCGCUAUACCAUUUUUGAAGAACUUCAUCUUGACUGAUGAUGCCUCGUUAUUCUUCUUCACUGACAGCUGCCUUAUUCUUGGGGAAGCGAUGAUCCCAUGUAUUUUGCUUGCUCUGGGUGGAAAUCUUGUGGAUGGCUCUGGCCCAGGCAGUAAAAGACUUGGUUUACGAACAACUGCUGCUAUCAUAUUUGGAAGAUUGGCUUUGGUUCCUCCUACAGGACUUGGAAUAAUCACCAUUGCUGACAAGCUUGGACUUUUUCCCAGGGGCGACAAAAUGUUCAAAUUUGUCCUGCUGCUGCAGCACA